UACAUGGAAGACUAGUGUUAUUCAUCUUUAUUAGGUUUAAAGGGUACAUAGACGGAUAAUUAAGCCCUCAAAGGGGUACAAAUUAGCUAGAGUUUAAAAUGAGGAAGUAGAACUUUUGGAAGAGAGAUAUAAUAUCAAGAAACUAAAGGGACAAGUAACGGUGAAGACGACUUUCUAAAUAAAACUGACGUUGAGGACGAAGGCUUGGGUAUCGAUAAGGAUUAGAAACCGUCGGUGAGUCAGACCCAAGACCUACUUCGCUGACCGUAACCGUAACUACCGACCUG
rnacentral:rRNA from 1 species